rnacentral:rRNA from 1 species
AGUGAACGCUGGCGGUAGGCCUAACACAUGCAAGUCGAACGGCAGCACAGUAAGAGCUGGCUCUUACGGGUGGCGAGUGGCGGACGGGUGAGGAAUACAUCGGAAUCUACGGUUUCGUGGGGGAUAACGUAGGGAAACUUACGCUAAUACCGCAUACGACAUACGGGUGAAAGCAGGGGAUCUUCGGACCUUGCGCGAUUGAAGGAGCCGAUGUCGGAUGAGCUAGUUGGCGGGGUAAAGGCCCACCAAGGCGACGAUCCGUAGCUGGUCUGAGAGGAUGAUCAGCCACACUGGAACUGAGACACGGUCCAGACUCCUACGGGAGGCAGCAGUGGGGAAUAUUGGACAAUGGGCGCAAGCCUGAUCCAGCCAUACCGCGUGGGUGAAGAAGGCCUUCGGGUUGUAAAGCCCUUUUGUUGGGAACGAAAAGCAGCAGGUUAAUACCCCGCUGUUCUGACGGUACCCAAAGAAUAAGCACCGGCUAACUUCGUG